rnacentral:rRNA from 1 species
AUUGAACGCUGGCGGCAUGCCUUACACAUGCAAGUCGAACGGCAGCACGGGAGCAAUCCUGGUGGCGAGUGGCGAACGGGUGAGUAAUACAUCGGAACGUGCCCAGUUGUGGGGGAUAGCCCGGCGAAAGCCGGAUUAAUACCGCAUACGACCUACGGGUGAAAGCGGGGGAUCGCAAGACCUCGCGCAAUUGAAGCGGCCGAUGUCAGAUUAGCUAGUUGGUGGGGUAAAAGCCUACCAAGGCGACGAUCUGUAGCUGGUCUGAGAGGACGACCAGCCACACUGGGACUGAGACACGGCCCAGACUCCUACGGGAGGCAGCAGUGGGGAAUUUUGGACAAUGGGCGCAAGCCUGAUCCAGCCAUGCCGCGUGUGGGAAGAAGGCCUUCGGGUUGUAAACCACUUUUGUCAGGGAAGAAACGGUCUAACCUAAUACGUUGGACUAAUGACGGUACCUGAAGAAUAAGCACCGGCUAACUACGUGCCAGCAGCCGCGGUAAUACGUAGGGUGCAAGCGUUAAUCGGUAUUACUGGGCGUAAAGCGUGCGCAGGCGGCUUUGCAAGACAGAUGUGAAAUCCCCGGGCUCAACCUGGGAACUGCAUUUGUGACUGCAAGGCUAGAGUACGGUAGAGGGGGAUGGAAUUCCGCGUGUAGCAGUGAAAUGCGUAGAUAUGCGGAGGAACACCGAUGGCGAAGGCAAUCCCCUGGACCUGUACUGACGCUCAUGCACGAAAGCGUGGGGAGC